rnacentral:miRNA from 1 species
UCGAGUUGACGGCCGUGGGC